GAUUUGUCAGAGCCUAGGUGAACACUUGCCACUCCCUCCCCUCACUGGUUUGCAGAGGUGGCACCCGGAGGCUCCCCAUGUCUGCAAACUCGGGUCCUAGGGGGCGUUGGUGUCAGCGGGCAACAGCCCACAGGAGUGUGCACCUCCUAGGACAGAGUUUGUCCUCUCACUUCUGGAGAAGAUGCAGACACAGGAGAUCCUGAGGAUACUGCGACUGCCUGAGCUAGGUGACUUGGGACAGUUUUUCCGCAGCCUCUCGGCCACCACCCUCGUGAGUAUGGGUGCCCUGGCUGCCAUCCUUGCCUACUGGUUCACUCACCGGCCAAAGGCCUUGCAGCCGCCAUGCAACCUCCUGAUGCAGUCAGAAGAAGUAGAGUUCUCUUCCCCUGAUGCAACCUGCUAAUGCUCUGUCCUGGCCGUGAGCAGAUGUGUAGAGAUACUCACCACGCUUUCACUCAUAUCCACCACAUACCCUGUUGUGCACCUUGCCUUUUGCUCUUGACAGUGCACCUUGGCGAUCAUAAGCAUGUUUUGCCUUGUAGGGGAGGGUGCAGGUUGAGGUAGGGGCUGGGAUCUUCAGG
rnacentral:lncRNA from 1 species